rnacentral:rRNA from 1 species
GACGAACGCUGGCGGCGUGCCUAAUACAUGCAAGUAGAACGCACAGUUUAUAUCGUAGCUUGCUACACCAUAGACUGUGAGUUGCGAACGGGUGAGUCACGCGUAGGUAACCUGCCUGGUAGCGGGGGAUAACUAUUGGAAACGAUAGCUAAUACCGCAUAAUAUUGAUUAUUGCAUGAUAAUUGAUUGAAAGAUGCAACUGCAUCACUACCAGAUGGACCUGCGUUGUAUUAGCUAGUAGGUGAGGUAACGGCUCACCUAGGCGACGAUACAUAGCCGACCUGAGAGGGUGAUCGGCCACACUGGGACUGAGACACGGCCCAGACUCCUACGGGAGGCAGCAGUAGGGAAUCUUCGGCAAUGGACGAAAGUCUGACCGAGCAACGCCGCGUGAGUGAAGAAGGUUUUCGGAUCGUAAAGCUCUGUUGUAAGAGAAGAACGGGUGUGAGAGUGGAAAGUUCACACUGGACGG